AAUUAAAGAAUUCAGAAUGCUGAGAUCUGGAAUGGGAGGAGUGUGAAUAGAAACAUUGGGCCUCAAGCCUAAAUCCAGAACAAGCACACGCGGGUCCAAGUGCUAAACAUCCAAAAUCGCUUAUGCAGAAAGCCAACAACACGAAUGAAAACAUUGAAACUGCUUAUCCAAAAAAAAACUCAAAAUCGCGUUUCCAUCGGUAUCAUCAACGCUCGUGUUCUUCUCCAUCCUUUGAGUCGCCGAAGAGUUUUGAAACCUCGCGUAUUAGGUUCUCAACAUCGCAUUUCGGCAUCGCGUUUGGGUGUUCAAGUCUUGAAAGCGUGGUGUUUGUGGACGGCGUCGUGUUUCGAUUAGGAUUCAGUCUCGAUUCUUCAUCUCCUUCGCAUCCCGAAGUGUAAUUGCUUCAAAACGCUGGGAAAGAGGGAACGGUAACGGCAUCGUGAGCUUCAACUGAAACUUUGGAAGCAAAGUAUGAUGGUAACGCCUGCCUUCGUCUUCAGCUGCAUCCGUCCGCGAAGAGGCGGUCGACGCCGCCAAGUAUUCAUCCGUAAUUCAAGGCUGGUGAAUCAGUAACUCGAAGCGUACUUGAUCCACUAUUUCCUAAUUGCCUUCAAACUCGAAGGAUUCGAUUGAAAUUGGAACGGAGUUGCGACAAGAAUUCGAACAAAAAGCGGCGAAGGCGACUUACCGGAUUAAAGUGACCCGGAGGUUCUUCGGCGGUUAUUCAAUUCCGAGAAGAUGGUCGACGCUUGAAGAACAAGGAGGUUGAAGCUUGAAGAACAAGGAGGUUGAAGCUUGAAGAACAAGAAGGUUGAAUGAAGAAGAGAUUGAAGACUAAAGAUUGAAGUGAAGAAUGAAUAUUGAAAUGAAGAAUGAAGAAGGAAGCAAAAACCCCUAAGAAUGAAGUGAGGUAUGCUUUUUAUAGCAUUGCUGAAUGAAAUUGUAAGUUGGUUAAUAGUCUGUUAGAAAUCCAGUUUGAAAUGAAAUGAGAAUUCACUCGAAAUUACCUUGAAAUUAGGAAUUAGUUAGUUAGUUUAAGUUUGUUAUAUGUUAGUUUUAAAUUCAGUUUUCUGUUAUGGAAACUCAAAUGCCAGUUGAUUAUGUUAGUUAGCUGGAGUAAGUUAUGGAUUUGUUAGCUUGAGAUGAUAUCCAAUUUUCCUGAGUGCCUUUGGAUCCAAA